rnacentral:rRNA from 1 species
UACGGAGGGGGCUAGCGUUGUUCGGAAUUACUGGGCGUAAAGCGUGCGCAGGCGGUUUUGUAAGUCUGUCGUGAAAGCCCCGGGCUCAACCUGGGAAUGGCAAUGGAUACUGGCGAGCUAGAGUGUGUCAGAGGAUGGUGGAAUUCCCGGUGUAGCGGUGAAAUGCGUAGAGAUCGGGAGGAACAUCAGUGGCGAAGGCGGCCAUCUGGGACAACACUGACGCUGAGGCACGAAAGCGUGGGGAGCAAACAGG